rnacentral:lncRNA from 1 species
UGAUACCAUGAAAUCAUGAGCAGAGACCUCCUUUCUACUUGAGUCCAGAAAGAGCCAGGCUUUGUGUUGGUCUACAUAGUACCGAGAAGGAAAGAGACUCUACUACCACUUUUCACUGUUGAAACUGUCCAUUCUCAGCUCCCCUGGAAAGGGCCCUCACACUCCUGCCGUAGACACGAAAAAGUCCUGGCUAAUGCUGGGAAAACACCAAGCUGAAGAAGACAUGUUUCCUGCCCUCCAGCAAAGAGAUAGAGUCCAAGCAAAUAACUACAACAGAUGUGAACGCAGAA